rnacentral:rRNA from 1 species
AUACGGAGGAUGCGAGCGUUAUCCGGAUUUAUUGGGUUUAAAGGGUGCGUAGGCUGUGCGUUAAGUCAGGGGUGAAAUGCCGUCGCUCAACGACGGAGCUGCCCUUGAUACUGGCGUGCUGGAGUACGGAUGCCGUUGGAGGAAUGAGUGGGGUAGCGGUGAAAUGCUUAGAUAUCACUCAGAACACCGAUUGCGAAGGCAUCUGACGAAUCCGUCACUGACGCUGAGGCACGAAAGCGUGGGGAUAGAACAGGAUUAGAUACCCUGGUAUUCCACGCCGUAAACGAUGAUGACUAACCGUCGGCGAUAGACAGCCGGUGGCCAAGCGAAAGCGAUAAGUCAUCCACCUGGGGAGUACGUCGGCAACGAUGAAACUCAAAGGAAUUGACGGGG